AUCAACACGUACCGGGGCCUGCUGGAGAGCGAGGACUGCAAGCUCCCCUGCAACCCAUGUGCCACCACCAACGCUUGCGGCAAUUCCUGUGGGUCCUGUGGCAACUGUCAAACGCGUUGCUCUUAAUUUAAGAACUUGCAUCCUCUUUGAAGACAACAAUGAAGCCAUUCAGAUCAAGCACAGGAAAAGUCCUUAGGUCAUGCUUUUGUUGGAGUUCAGCUGCCAGUUAGAAGCCUAGCCAUGCCAAAUGUGAUAUUUCCAGACGGGGAAAUGCUUUCCAGAUUCAACAAGCAAAGACACACAUCAUUAACUUCCAAUGUCUGGAAAAUCCCUUCCUAUUGAAGUUUGAGUGUCUUUGUUUCUAAAGAUGUCCAGCUCCCUGUGAUCUGAGCUCCAGGUAUUACUUUUAGGGCAUUUCCUGCGUGUAUUGUGUUUCCUGCUUUUCUUGCUUCUUUGGUAUUCUCUGGAAUGCAAGGAAGCUUCUUCAUUUACUUCCCAAUAAACUUUAUUUCUCUGGCAUAGUAAA